rnacentral:rRNA from 1 species
UUCGGUUCCUGAGUAAAGUGGCGCACGGGUGAGUAACGCGUAGGUAAUCUACCCUAGUGUACGGGACAAUAUCGGGAAACUGGUGCUAAUACCGAAUACGCUUCAUUGAACGCGAGUUUAUAGAAGGAAAGGUGGCCUCUUCAUGAAAGCUACUGCACAAGGAUGAGCCUGCGUACCAUUAGCUAGUUGGUGGGGUAAAGGCCUACCAAGGCGACGAUGGUUAGCGGGUCUGAGAGGAUGAUCCGCCACACUGGAACUGAAACACGGUCCAGACUCCUACGGGAGGCAGCAGUGAGGAAUUUUGCACAAUGGGGGCAACCCUGAUGCAGCGACGCCGCGUGAGUGAUGAAGGCCCUUGGGUCGUAAAGCUCUGUCAAUAGGGAAGAAAUGUUUAGUGGUUAAUACCCAUUAGAUUUGACGGUACCUAUAAAGGAAGCACCGGCUAAAUCCGUGCCAGCAGCCGCGGUAAUACGGAUGGUGCGAGCGUUGUUCGGAAUUACUGGGCGUAAAGGGCGCGUAGGCGGCCUGUUAAGUCAGAUGUGAAAGCCCACGGCUCAACCGUGGAAGUGCAUCUGAAACUGGCGGGCUUGAGUACUGGAGAGGAAAGUGGAAUUCCUGGUGUAGAGGUGAAAUUCGUAGAUAUCAGGAGGAAUACCGGUGGCGAAGGCGACUUUCUGGACAGAUACUGACGCUG